AUUGAACGCUGGCGGCAGGCCUAACACAUGCAAGUCGAACGAGUGGCGGACGGGUGAAUAAUGUCUGGGAAACUGCCUGAUGGAGGGGGAUAACUACUGGAAACGGUAGCUAAUACCGCAUACCAUCAGAUGUGCCCAGAUGGGAUUAGAUUGUGGGGGGGGUAAAUGCUAACCAAGGCGAAGAUCCCUAGCUGGUCUGAGAGGAUGACCAUCCACACUGGACCUGAGACACGGGCCAGACUCCUCCGGGAGGCAGCAGUGGGGAAUAUUGCACAAUGGGCGCAAGCCUGAUGCAGCCAUGCCGCGUGUAUGAAGAAGGCCUUCGGGUUGUAAAGGACUUUCAGCGGGGAGGCGUUACCCGCAGAAGAAGCACCGGCUAACUCCGUGCCAGCAGCCGCGGUAAUUC
rnacentral:rRNA from 1 species